AUUGAACGCUGGCGGCAUGCUUUACACAUGCAAGUCGAACGGCAGCGCGGGCUUCGGCCUGGCGGCGAGUGGCGAACGGGUGAGUAAUGCAUCGGAACGUGCCCAGUAGUGGGGGAUAGCCCCGCGAAAGCCGGAUUAAUACCGCAUACGACCUGAGGGUGAAAGCGGGGGACCGAAAGGCCUCGCGCUAUUGGAGCGGCCGAUGUCGGAUUAGCUAGUUGGUGGGGUAAAGGCUUACCAAGGCGACGAUCCGUAGCUGGUCUGAGAGGACGACCAGCCACACUGGGACUGAGACACGGCCCAGACUCCUACGGGAGGCAGCAGUGGGGAAUGUUGGACAAUGGGGGCAACCCUGAUCCAGCCAUGCCGCGUGCGUGAAGAAGGCCUUCGGGUUGUAAAGCGCUUUUGUUCGGGAAGAAAGCCUCUGGGCUAAUACCCCGGGGGGAUGACGGUACCGGAAGAAUAAGCACCGGCUAACUACGUG
rnacentral:rRNA from 1 species